AACACAUGCAAGUCGAACGAUCCCUUCGGGGAUAGUGGCGCACGGGUGCGUAACGCGUGGGAACCUGCCCUUAGGUUCGGAAUAACAGUUAGAAAUGACUGCUAAUACCGGAUAAUGUCUUCGGACCAAAGAUUUAUCGCCUUAGGAUGGGCCCGCGUUGGAUUAGCUAGUUGGUGGGGUAAAGGCUCACCAAGGCGACGAUCCAUAGCUGGUCUGAGAGGAUGAUCAGCCACACUGGGACUGAGACACGGCCCAGACUCCUACGGGAGGCAGCAGUGGGGAAUAUUGGACAAUGGGCGAAAGCCCUGAUCCAGCAAUGCCGCGUGAGUGAUGAACGCCUUCCGGUUGUAAACCUCUUU
rnacentral:rRNA from 1 species